UAGGCCGGUCACAGCCGUUGGAUCCCACCGGAACCCAUUCCGAACUCCGCAGUUAAGUCCAACGACGUUGCGGGACAUGUGCGCGCUAGCGCGCGUGACAGGCCCGCAAACUGGCCAUU
rnacentral:rRNA from 1 species